rnacentral:misc_RNA from 1 species
AAGUCGUAACAAGGUUUCCGUAGGUGAACCUGCGGAAGGAUCAUUACCUAGAGUUGUAGGCUUUGCCUACCAUCUCUUACCCAUGUCUUUUGAGUACCUUCGUUUCCUCGGUGGGUUUGCCCGCCGACUGGACAAAACUUAAACCCUUUGUAAUUGAAAUCAGCGUCUGAAAAAACUUAAUAGUUACAACUUUCAACAACGGAUCUCUUGGUUCUG